rnacentral:rRNA from 1 species
GAUGAACGCUGGCGGCGUGCCUAAUACAUGCAAGUCGAGCGAACAGACGAGGAGCUUGCUCCUCUGACGUUAGCGGCGGACGGGUGAGUAACACGUGGAUAACCUACCUAUAAGACUGGGAUAACUUCGGGAAACCGGAGCUAAUACCGGAUAAUAUAUUGAACCGCAUGGUUCAAUAGUGAAAGACGGUUUUGCUGUCACUUAUAGAUGGAUCCGCGCCGCAUUAGCUAGUUGGUAAGGUAACGGCUUACCAAGGCAACGAUGCGUAGCCGACCUGAGAGGUGGACACCCCAGACGGGGACGACGACACGGACCAGAAGACGACGGGAGGCAGGAGAGAGGUAGAGUGGGCAAGGGGGGAGAGCCGGAACCAGCCAAGUCGCGUGAAAGAUGACUGUGUUAUGGAUUGUAUACUUCUGUUAGACGAGAAUAACAAGAGUCACGGGUGGCGCCCUGCCUGUACCGGAUGAAUAAGCAUCGGCUAACUCCGUG